rnacentral:tRNA from 1 species
GGAUUGUGGCUCAGCGGUAGAGCGCUUGCCUAGCACGUGAGAGGCCCUGGGUUCCAUCCUAAGCACCA